rnacentral:rRNA from 1 species
AUUGAACGCUGGCGGCAUGCCUUACACAUGCAAGUCGAACGGCAGCACGGGGCAACCUGGUGGCGAGUGGCGAACGGGUGAGUAAUGCAUCGGAACGUGCCAUUGAGUGGGGGAUAACGUAGCGAAAGUUGCGCUAAUACCGCAUAUUCUGUGAGCAGGAAAGCAGGGGACCGCAAGGCCUUGCGCUCUUUGAGCGGCCGAUGUCAGAUUAGCUAGUUGGUGAGGUAACGGCUUACCAAGGCGACGAUCUGUAGCGGGUCUGAGAGGAUGAUCCGUCACACUGGAACUGAGACACGGUCCAGACUCCUACGGGAGGCAGCAGUGGGGAAUUUUGGACAAUGGGCGCAAGCCUGAUCCAGCCAUGCCGCGUGAGUGAAGAAAGCCUUCGGGUUGUAAAGCUCUUUCGGCCGGGAAGAAAUCGCAUGGGUUAAUACCCUGUGUGGAUGACGGUACCGGAAUAAGAAG